CCUACGGGAGGCAGCAGUAGGGAAUCUUCCGCAAUGGACGAAAGUCUGACGGAGCAACGCCGCGUGAGUGAUGAAGGCUUUCGGGUCGUAAAACUCUGUUGUUAGGGAAGAACAAGUACGGGAGUAACUGCUGGUACCUUGACGGUACCUAACCAGAAAGCCACGGCUAACUACGUGCCAGCAGCCGCGGUAAU
rnacentral:rRNA from 1 species